rnacentral:ncRNA from 1 species
CUCUGGAAAGUAGGCGGCAUCGUGAAGGGUCAUGAUUUAUCGUGAUUUGAUGUGCGUCUCGCCGAAGAUGUAAGCAGACCGAUGGUUUGAAUCGGCUGUGAUUCUUUCAGGCUCCGAGACAGAG